GGAGACACACGGCGGGUGCUAACGUCCGUCGUGAAAAGGGAAACAACCCAGACCCACAGCUAAGGUCCCAAAUUCACUGCUAAGUGGAAAACCAUGUGGAAAGGCACAGACAGCCAGGAGGUUGGCUUAGAAGCAGCCACCCUUUAAAGAAAGCGUAAUAGCUCACUGGUCGAGUCGGUCUGCGGGGAAGAUUUAACGGGGCUAAGCAGUGAACCGAAGCUUGGGGUGCAUACUUUGUAUGCGCGGUAGAGGAGCGUUCCGUAAGCCGUUGAAGGUGGAUUGAGAAGUCUGCUGGAGGUAUCGGAAGUGCGAAUGCUGACAUGAGUAACGAUAAUGCGGGUGAAAAACCCGCACGCCGAAAGCCCAAGGUUUCCUUGCGCAACGUUAAUCGGCGCAGGGUGAGUCGGCCCCUAAGGCGAGGACGAAAGUCGUAGUCGAUGGGAAGCAGGUUAAUAUUCCUGCACCUCGCGUAAGUGCGAUGGAGGGACGGAGAAGGUUAGGUGUACCAGGCGUUGGUUGUCCUGGGGAAAGGCGGUAGGUUUGGAUCUUUGGCAAAUCCGGGAUCCUCUAAGACCGAGCACCGAGACGAGCCUUUAUGGCGAAGUCACUGAUACCACGCUUCCAGGAAAAGCUCCUAAGCUUCAGCUUACGCAGACCGUACCGUAAACCGACACAGGUGGGUAGGAUGAGAAUUCUCAGGCGCUUGAGAGAACUCGGGUGAAGGAACUAGGCAACAUGGCACCGUAACUUCGGGAGAAGGUGCACCCUUUUUGGUGGCUCGUGCGAGCUAUAGCUGAAGAGGGUCGCAGUAACCAGGCCGCUGCGACUGUUUAUCAAAAACACAGCACUCUGCAAACACGAAAGUGGACGUAUAGGGUGUGACGCCUGCCCGGUGCUGGAAGGUUAAUUGAUGGGGUCAGCCGCAAGGCGAAGCUCUUGAUCGAAGCCCCAGUAAACGGCGGCCGUAACUAUAACGGUCCUAAGGUAGCGAAAUUCCUUGUCGGGUAAGUUCCGACCUGCACGAAUGGCGUAACGACAGCGGCGCUGUCUCCACCCGAGACUCAGUGAAAUUGAAAUCGCUGUGAAGAUGCAGCGUUCCCGUGGCAAGACGGAAAGACCCCGUGAACCUUUACUAUAGCUUUACACUGAACGUUGAGUUCGUCUGUGUAGGAUAGGUGGGAGGCUAUGAAACCAUGGCGCUAGCUGUGGCGGAGCCAUCCUUGAAAUACCACCCUGUCGUGCUUGACGUUCUAACCUGGGCCCAUUAUCUGGGUCGGGGACCGUGUAUGGUGGGUAGUUUGACUGGGGCGGUCUCCUCCUAAAGAGUAACGGAGGAGCUCGAAGGUACGCUCAGCGCGGUCGGACAUCGCGCACUGUGUGCAAAGGCAUAAGCGUGCUUGACUGCAAGAUCGACGGAUCAAGCAGGUAGGAAACUAGGACUUAGUGAUCCGGUGGUUCUGUAUGGAAGGGCCAUCGCUCAACGGAUAAAAGGUACUCCGGGGAUAACAGGCUGAUACCGCCCAAGAGUUCAUAUCGACGGCGGUGUUUGGCACCUCGAUG
rnacentral:rRNA from 1 species